UUGCAACAUCGACCGACUUGAUCUUCUGUGAAGGGUUUGAGUAAGAGCAUAUUUGUUACGACCCGAAAGAUGGUGAACUAUACUUGAGCAGCCUGAAGCCUGAGGAAACUCAGGUGGAAGGGCGCAGCGGUACUGACGUGCAAAUCGUUCGUCAGACUUGAGUAUAGGGGCGAAAGACUAAUCGAACCAUCUAGUAGCUGGUUCCCUCUGAAAAUUUCUCUCAGGAUAGCUGGAACAAUUUCAAGCAGUUUUAUCAGGUAAAGCGAAUGAUUAGAGGACUCGGAGCUCAAAGAGCUUUGACCUAUUCUCAAACUUUAAAUUGGUAAGAUCUAUUAGUUCUCUUAAUUGAACUGGUAGGCAGAAUGCAUUGUUCCAAGUGGGCUUAUCGUGGUAAGCAUGUUAAGCAAUGAGGGAUGAACCUAACGCUGAGAUAAGGCGCCAAAAU
rnacentral:rRNA from 1 species